UACGAAGGGGGCUAGCGUUGCUCGGAAUUACUGGGCGUAAAGGGCUCGUAGGCGGAUAGUUUAGUCAGAGGUAAAAGCCCAGGGCUCAACCUUGGAACUGCCUUUGAUACUGGCUAUCUUGAGUUCGGGAGAGGUGAGUGGAAUGCCGAGUGUAGAGGUGAAAUUCGUAGAUAUUCGGCGGAACACCAGUGGCGAAGGCGACUCACUGGCCCGAUACUGACGCUGAGGCGCGAAAGCGUGGGGAGCAAACAGG
rnacentral:rRNA from 1 species